rnacentral:rRNA from 1 species
GCCAGAGAGCUAGCCGUCACACCACCCGCAAAUACAAGACAAUAACUCAAAAUAUUAUAUAAACCAACCAUUAAAACAUUUUUCCGCCCUAGUAUAUGAGAUAGAAAAGGAUGAUAGCGCCAUAGAAAAAGUACCGCAAGGGAAAGCUGAAAAAGGAAGUGAAACAAACCGCCAAAGCACAAAAAAGCAGAGAUUAACUCUCGUACCUUUUGCAUCAUGAUUUAGCCAGAACCGCCAGGCGAAGAGACCCUUAAGUCUGAGCCCCCGAAACUAAACGAGCUACUUCGAGACAGCAUAUUUAGAGCCAACCCGUCUCUGUGGCAAAAGAGUGGGAAGAUCUCCAAGUAGAGGUGACAAACCUAACGAGUUUAGUGAUAGCUGGUUGCUUAAGAAAUGAAUACUAGUUCAGCCUCGUGAGACACUUACCUCAAACCAUAAAACCCGUAAGAACCUAAGACGCUCACAAGAGUUAGCCAAAGGGGGUACAGCCCCUUUAAAAAAGAACACAACCUUAACAGUUGGGCAAGGAUCAUAAUUUAUAAAGCACUUGACCACGGUGGGCCUAAGAGCAGCCAUCCGAAAAGAAAGCGUUGAAGCUCAAGCAAACAACAAGCUUAUUAUCCCGAUAAAUAUAUCCAACCCCACUAUCAAUAUUAAGCCCCCCUAUGACUACAUAGGAGAGAUAAUGCUAAAAUCAGUAACAAGAAAGCACGACUUUCUCCCGGCACAUGUGUUAGUCAGAUCGGACCACCCACUGACAUAUAAAGAACUCAAUAAAAGAGAGUAUUGUACCCUAUAAAAUAACCAAGAAAACUACACAAAUAACAUCGUUAACCCAACACAGGAGUGCCACAACAGGGAUAGACAAAAUGAAGAAAGAAGGAACUCGGCAAUCCACGGCCCCGCCUGUUUACCAAAAACAUGGCCUCUCGCAAUAACACAGAUGAGAGGUCCAACCUGCCCAGUGACCAAGAGUUAAACGGCCGCGGUAUCUUAACCGUGCUAAGGUAGCGUAAUCACUUGUCUUUUAAAUGAAGACCUGUAUGAAAGGCAUUACGAGGGCCCAACUGUCUCCUACUUCAUGUCAGUGAAAUUGAUCUGUCCGUGCAGAAGCGGACAUACCCACAUAAGACGAGAAGACCCUGUGGAGCUUAAGAUAUCAAAUUAACCGCGCCUAGAAACUAACAAGCCCACGGGCCCCAAACACCAAACAAGCAUAGCGGCCAUAAUUAAACUUAUCUUCGGUUGGGGCGACCAUGGAGGAUAAAAAAGCCUCCAAGAAGAAGCAGGGGGUCAGUCACACUACCCCUAAGAGCCAAGAGCCACACCUCUAGGCAACAGAAAAUUCUGACUAAUAAUGACCCAGGCCCAGCCUGAUUAACGAACCAAGUUACCCCAGGGAUAACAGCGCAAUCCUUUCCAAGAGCCCAUAUCGCCGAAAGGGUUUACGACCUCGAUGUUGGAUCAGGACAUCCUGGUGGCGAAAAUUUUACCAAGGGUUCGUUUGUUCAACGAUUAAAGUCCUACGUGAUCUGAGUUCAGACCGGAGUAAUCCAGGUCGGUUUCUAUCUAUGAACUUUCCCUUCCUAGUACGAAAGGGCCGGAAGGCGAGGGGCCAAUACCAAAAGCAAGCCCCACUCCUACAUAAUGAACACAACUAAAACAAAAAAGGAGGAUACAAACCAAGCCCAAGAUAAGGGCUAA